rnacentral:rRNA from 1 species
GACGAACGCUGGCGGCGUGCUUAACACAUGCAAGUCGAACGGAAAGGCCCUGCUUGCUGGCUACUCGAGUGGCGAACGGGUGGGUAACACGCUGGUGAUCUGACCUGCUCCUCGAGAUAGGCCUUGAUAACUGGUUCUGAUAUCGGACAUAACCUUUCAUGCAGUGUGGUGGGUGGGAGGUUUUUUCGGUGUGGGAUGGGGUCGCGGCCUAUCAGCUUGUUGGUGGGGUAAUGGCCUACCAGGACGUCGACGGGUAGCCGGCCUGAGAGGGUGGACGGCCACAUUGGGACUGAGAUACGGCCCAGACUCCUACGGGAGGCAGCAGUGGGGAAUAUUGCACAAGGGGCGGAAGCCUUAUGUAGCGAAGCAGCGUGGGGGAUGACGGCAUGCGGGUUGGAAACCUCUUUCGACUGGGACGAAGCGUCAGUGACGGUACCGGGAGAAGAAGCACCGGCUAACUACGUG